rnacentral:rRNA from 1 species
GCUCAGAAACUUAAAGGAAUUGACGGGGCCCGCACAGCGGUGGAGUAUGUGGUUUAAUUCGAUGCAACGCGAAGAACCUUACCUGGUCUUGACAUCCCGGAGACCCUUAGGAAACUAGGGGGUGCUUCCAUCUGGAAGAAUCUGGAGACAGGUGCUGCAUGGCUGUCGUCAGCUCGUGUCGUGAGAUGUUGGGUUAAGUCCCGCAACGAGCGCAACCCUUGCCUUUAGUUGCCAGCAGUUCGGCUGGGCACUCUAAAGGGACUGCCGGUGUUAAACCGGAGGAAGGUGGGGAUGACGUCAAGUCCUCAUGGCCUUUAUGACCAGGGCUACACACGUACUACAAUGGCCGAUACAAAGGGCAGCGACACUGCGAGGUGAAGCCAAUCCCGUAAAAUCGGUCUCAGUCCGGAUUGGAGUCUGCAACUCGACUCCAUGAAGUUGGAAUCGCUAGUAAUCGUGGAUCAGCAUGCCACGGUGAAUACGUUCCCGGGCCUU